GACGAACCGUGCGAACGUUAUUCGGAAUCACUGGGCUUAAAGCGCGUGUAGGCGGGACGGCACGUCUGUCGCUGAAAUCCCCCGGCUCAACCGGGGAACGGGCGCGGAUACGACCGUCCUGGAGGGGCGUAGGGGGACCUGGAACUUCCGGUGGAGCGGUGAAAUGUGUUGAUAUCGGAAGGAACGCCGGUGGCGAAAGCGACACACUGGGUCUCAACUGACGCUGAGGCACGAAAGCCAGGGGAGCGAACGGG
rnacentral:rRNA from 1 species